rnacentral:pre_miRNA from 1 species
UUUGACUAUUCGUCUUAUUUGAAUUUUUUUUAAUUAAUAUUUUUAUUGUUACUAGAUGAUAAACAUAAAUAGUACUUUAUACGUAACUAUUUUUUUUAAUGUUUUUUAACAAAAUUUUCAAAUAAGACGAAUCGUCAAA